rnacentral:rRNA from 1 species
CCUGGUAGCGGGGGGUAACUAUUGGAAACGAUAGCUAAUACCGCAUAAUAUUGAUUAUUGCAUGAUAAUUGAUUGAAAGAUGCUAUUGCAUCACUACCAGAUGGACCUGCGUUGUAUUAGCUAGUAGGCGAGGUAACGGCUCACCUAGGCGACGAUACAUAGCCGACCUGAGAGGGUGAUCGGCCACACUGGGACUGAGACACGGCCCAG